rnacentral:rRNA from 1 species
GAGCGGCGUGCUAUACAUGCAAGUCGAGCGAACUCGAUUAGAAGCUUGCUUCUAUGACGUUAGCGGCGGACGGGUGAGUAACACGUGGGACAACCUGCCUGUAAGACUGGAGAUAACUUCGGGAAACCGAAGCUAAUACCGGAUAGGAUCUUCUCCUUCAUGGGAGAUGAUUGAAAGAUGGGUUCGGCUAUCACUUACAGAUGGGCCCGCGGUGCAUUAGCUAGUUGGUGAGGUAACGGCUCACCAAGGCAACGAUGCAUAGCCGACCUGAGAGGGUGAUCGGCCACACUGGGACUGAUACACGGCCCAGACUCCUACGGGAGGCAGCAGUAGGGAAUCUUCCGCAAUGGACGAAAGUCUGACGGAGCAACGCCGCGUGAGUGAUGAAGGCUUUCGGGUCGUAAAACUCUGUUGUUAGGGAAGAACAAGUACGAGAGUAACUGCUCGUACCUUGACGGUACCUAACCAGAAAGCCACGGCUAACUACGUGCCAGCAGCCGCGGUAAUACGUAGGUGGCAAGCGUUAUCCGGAAUUAUUGGGCGUAAAGCGCGCGCAGGCGGUUUCUUAAGUCUGAUGUGAAAGCCCACGGCUCAACCGUGGAGGGUCAUUGGAAACUGGGGAACUUGAGUGCAGAAGAGAAAAGCGGAAUUCCACGUGUAGCGGUGAAAUGCGUAGAGAUGUGGAGGAACACCAGUGGCGAAGGCGGCUUUUUGGUCUGUAACUGACGCUGAGGCGCGAAAGCGUGCGGAGCAAACAGGAUUAGAUACGCUGGUAGUCCACGCCGUAAACGAUGAGUGCUAAGUGUUGGAGGGUGUCCGCCCUUUAGUGCUGCAGCUAACGCAUUAAGCACUCCGCCUGGGGAGUACGGUCGCAAGACUGAAACUCAAAGGAAUUGACGGGAGCCCGCACAAGCCGUGGAGCAUGUGGUUUAAUUCGAAGCAACGCGAAGAAACCUUACCAAGUCUUGACAUCCUCUGACAACUCUAGAAAAUAGAGGGUACCCUUCGGGGGAAAGAAGGACAAGAGGUCCAUGGUGUUCCUCACCUCGUGUCGGGAGAUGUGGGAUAAGUCCCGCAACCACCCCACCCUUGAUCUUAGUUGCCACUUUUUACUUGGGCCCUCAAAGGUAUUGCCGGUGAACAACCGGNGAAAGGGGGGAAGGAGGGCAAAUCAUCA